rnacentral:pre_miRNA from 1 species
AGGGCCGUGAUGGAGAAGCAGGUCACGUGCAUACUAUAUGCGUGCUGCAGCAGCACGAGUUGUGCACGUGUUUUCCUUCUCCACCGUAGCCUU